rnacentral:rRNA from 1 species
CAGUAGCCACGGUAAUACGGAGGAUCCGAGCGUUAUCCGGAAUUAUUGGGUUUAAAGGGUGCGUAGGCGGAUAGAUAAGUCAGUGGUGAAAGACGGUGGCUCAACCAUCGCAGUGCCGUUGAUACUGUUUAUCUUGAAUAUGGAUGAGGUAGGCGGAAUGUGGCAAGUAGCGGUGAAAUGCAUAGAUAUGCCACAGAACACCGAUUGCGAAGGCAGCUUACCAAGGCAAAAUUGACGCUGAGGCACGAAAGCGUGGGGAUCGAACAGGAUUAGAUACCCCAGUAGUCCCUGUCUCUUAUAA